rnacentral:rRNA from 1 species
UACGUAAGGUCCGAGCGUUGUCCGGAGUUACUGGGCGUAAAGCGCGCGCAGGCGGCGGUGCUGGCCCGGCGUGAAAGCCCCCCGGCUCAACCGGGGAGAGUCGUCGGGGACCGCACCGCUUGAGGGCGGUAGGGGCUGGUGGAAUGCCUGGUGUAGUGGUGAAAUGCGUAGAGAUCAGGCAGAACACCUGGGGCGAAGGCGGCCAGCUGGGCCGUCCCUGACGCUGAGGCGCGAAGGCGUGGGGAGCGAACAGG